GACGAACGCUGGCGGCGUGCUUAACACAUGCAAGUCGAACGGAAAGGCCUCUUUCGGGGGGUACUCGAGUGGCGAACGGGUGAGUAACACGUGAGUAACCUGCCCUUGACUUUGGGAUAACUUCAGGAAACUGGGGCUAAUACCGGAUAGGAGCUCCUGCUGCAUGGUGGGGGUUGGAAAGUUUCGGCGGUUGGGGAUGGACUCGCGGCUUAUCAGCUUGUUGGUGGGGUAGUGGCUUACCAAGGCUUUGACGGGUAGCCGGCCUGAGAGGGUGACCGGCCACAUUGGGACUGAGAGACGGCCCAGACUCCUACGGGAGGCAGCAGUGGGGAAGAUUGCACAAUGGGUGGAAGCCUGAUGCAGCAACGCCGUGUGCGGGAUGACGGCCUUCGGGUUGUAAACCGCUUUCGCUCAUGACGAAGCUUUGUGUGACGGUAGUGGGUAAAGAAGCACCGGCUAACUACGUG
rnacentral:rRNA from 1 species